rnacentral:rRNA from 1 species
GACGAACGCUGGCGGCGUGCUUAACACAUGCAAGUCGAACGGAAAGGCCCUGCUUGCAGGGUACUCGAGUGGCGAACGGGUGAGUAACACGUGGGUGAUCUGCCCUGCACUUCGGGAUAAGCUUGGGAAACUGGGGCUAAUACCGGAUAGGAGCCAUCUUUAGUGUGGUGGUUGGAAAGUUUUUUCGGUGUAGGAUGAGCUCGCGGCCUAUCAGCUUGUUGGUGGGGUAAUGGCCUACCAAGGGGGCGACGGGUAGCCGGCCUGAGAGGGGGUACGGCCACAUUGGGACUGAGAUACGGGCCAGACUCCUACGGGGGGCAGAAGUGGGGAAUAUUGCACAAUGGGCGCAAGCCUGAGGCAGCGACGCCGCGUGGGGGAUGAAGGCCUUCGGGUUGUAAACUCCGUUCGCUAGGGACGAAGCGUUGUUGUGACGGUACCUAGAGAAGAAGCACCGGCUAACUACGUG